CAUUUGACGUUAGCUGCAGAAGAAGCACCGGCUAACUCCGUGCCAGCAGCCGCGGUAAUACGGAGGGUGCGAGCGUUAAUCGGAAUUACUGGGCGUAAAGCGCAUGCAGGUGGUUUGUUAAGUCAGAUGUGAAAGCCCGGGCUCAACCUCGGAAUUGCAUUUGAAACUGGCAAACUAGAGUACUGUAGAGGGGGUAGAAUUUCAGGUGUAGCGGUGAAAUGCGUAGAGAUCUGAAGGAAUACCCGGUGGCGAAGGCGGCCCCCUGGACAGAUACUGACACUCAGAUGCGAAAGCGUGGGGAGCAAACAGGAUUAGAUACCCUGGUAG
rnacentral:rRNA from 1 species